UGUGUGUAUGUGUUUGUGUGUGUGUGUGUAUAUAUAUAUGUAUAUACACACACACACAAACACACACACACACA
rnacentral:miRNA from 1 species